GUACUUCCAAAGUAAAACAUAUAGUAAAAUUUAAACUCGACAGAGAAGGAUAGCAUGGCGCAAGCGCAAGAAUGGUACGUAAAAUCGUGAAGCGUUCCACAAUUUU
rnacentral:snRNA from 1 species